rnacentral:sRNA from 1 species
GUGUACCGCUCAUACACUCCGGCCCCUGGCUGCCGCCCACCCUCACCUGACAACAGUUCGCUAAUUCUGUUAGCG